GAUUUCUGCAGGAGCUUGGUAUAGGAUAUGUGUGGUUUUCUUGUGUGCAGUAUGACACCUGGGAAAGGAGAUACCCUUAGAAAAUUAAAAAGUACUGUUCUGUUCCCUAUCCACCCAUGGGGCUAUAUUUAUUUGGUCAGUUCAGUUGUGUUUUUUUGAAUCUAUGAACCAAGUUCCAAGAGGGAUAACACAUAUGGUGCGCCUAUCCAGACAAAGCUCAACAUGCCAGGGAACAGAAGAUUUGAAAAGUAUGUUGGCAACUACUUUAUUCUACUUAGGGUAGUUGCCUAAGAUCUCCCAUCCAUCCUUCCUUCUUCCCUUCUUCCCUGCCUCCCUCCUCUCUCUUCAGAAUAGAGUAUAUGUCUAGCAACAUCAUAUGCCUGACACUGUCUUUUCUUCCUUGCCUUGGUGGUUCCUGACCGUGGACUUCACCCUCAUUCCUUGUUCGCCGUCUUCCCUUCGAACUGAGUGAUGAUGUGGGAGAUGGUUCUGCCACGAGGAUUCAUCUCAGUUCUCACCAUCCAUCCUCUUCAUCUCAACUCAGGUCCCCUGACACAGAACCUUCAGAGUCUUGGUUACCUGAUCCAGCUUCUGUGACCAAAAAUGGCAGCCGUACUGUGACAGUCUUACUGGGUAAGUUCCACUCUUUCUGUUCCUCUCAAUGCUAUUUGUCUGGGGCAAGACCAGACUUGGUUGGGUGGGUGCUUAGUGUGUAAGCAUUAAAAGCUGAGCUUUCCACCUGAGCUGGAGCAUUCAUGCAGCCUGUGGGGAGGCCAGUCCUAUGGUUUCUUGAGAGUAGCAGCGGCUACUUCUGGCAGUGGCUUCUCUGAGUGGAGGGCAGGAAUGACCAAACAAGUCUCUCAUUUCCACAUCUCUAGUCUUCACAGAUCCUUCAUGGCACCUGAGCUGGGGUGUGGGAUAACCUCUGUUCCCCUGCUGUGGUAUUUGUAAAAAUAGGAUGCCAAGUGUCAUGGUAUGGACCUGUGAUCUCCAUCUCUGGAGAAACUGAGGCAGCUGUUGCCAGUUAGCCUGGUCUUCAGGCAGUUGCAUUUUUUUGGGUGGGGGGAGACUACAAAAGCAAGAGCAAGUGGGGCUGUUCUCAAAAGUCACAUCUGUCAUGUGAUACUUAAAAAAAUAAUGCUUUCUCAUUAAUAAGAGAAGAUUCUGUUCAAUGGGAAAGCAUAGGAAGUAUUGGGGGCGGGCAAAAUGUUUAUAGUCACUCAAAGAUGACCACUGCCAACGUUUGGCUAAUAAUGUUUGGUUUCUGGUUUAUUCCUAUAAAUACACUCUUGCGCUCGUGUGUGUGUGUGUGUGUGUGUGUGUGUGUGUGUGUGUGUGUGUGUGUGUGUGUGUGUGUGUGUGUGUAUGUGAGUGUGUGUGUGUGUGUGUGUGUCUAAUUGAGCUUAUCAUUGCUAUUUUUUCUCAUCUGCCUGUAUAUCCUAAACUCUGCCCUAUGCCAUUCAGUAAUUUAUCAUCUUUGUUUGUUUUUUUGGUUUUUUUGUUUGUUUGUUUGUUUUUUGGGUUUUUUGUUUUGUUUUUGUUUUUUGGGUUUUUUUUUUUGUAACUAUGGAGUCUAGAUAGUAUUUAUAAUUAACAAUUGGUCUGUGUGUGUCGAUCUGGAAACAGGUGCAAAAGCUGGGUGGCCUUUGUUAGGUGCCUUCUCUGCGUGCUCGCCUCUGCAGUUUGGUCUAGUGUCUUGCUGUUCUUUAUACAAGCAAGUGUCUCUGUCAGGAGGCAGGAACACGAGGCCAAAUUACCCUCUGAAAACUUUUUUUGCCCAUUACAUUUUCAGAAUUAGUUUGAGAAAGUGCCUGCUGCUCUGGGAAUUAUCAGAGUUUUUAACCUUUGCUGGUUUGUCAAAACAUGACAUUUCACUCCUUCCAUCCCCACAGCUUUUAUCACACAGCACAGAGCACUUCCCACCUUCUUUGUGGGGUGUUUGUAUCUGAAUUGCUAGCUCGGGCUCCUUGCACUUUUCAUUAUUCCUUUAGUUUUUAUGUUUUUUUUCUUUUCUUUUCUUUUUUUUUUUUUUCCUGUCAAACUCAUGCAUACACAUCAUUUUAAGAGCCGGAUCCUUCUACAAGAUUGUCAGGGAAGCGUCAGCCCUCCCCCCUCCCAGCUCCACCCGAAUAUUAUAAUAACUGCCUUACCUGUAACUGCCUUAGCUGAUUCUCUCCACAUUUACAUCCUAAUGCUAAGUAACAGGCUUGCUUUUCUGCUCCUUGAUUUUCUUUCUUUGUGUGUGUGUGAUUUUUUUUCUUUUUUCUUUUUUUAAGCUUAGGCAUCAUUUUGAUUGCUCUAUUGUUGAAGACAAGCAUUUAGCUCUUUUUUCAUAUACCCCUGUCUUCACCCUGCACACACAACCCUGUACUAUCCUCCCGAUAGAUUAUUUUGAAAUGCUUGCUUGCUUGAUCAAUACUUGAGAGGUUACACCCCUUGUUGAGUAUGAACACGCUCACAAAGCAUAAUAACCUGGACCUGAGUAUUUAUCUUCUCCCUCGUAUUUUUUUCUCUUCUGGAGUCUGUAUAUGUAUGUGUGCGUGUGUGUGUUGCUUUGUUUUGUUUUGUGUAACUCAGGUUAACUCACAGCCUUCCCAUAUAUACAAAAAACAUGAAGUGUUCGAUACAUAUGUGUAUCAUGUUGAAGAACUUUCUUCCUGGAGUCAGCUUCUAAUCUUCUCAUGGGCUAGCUCCUCUUUAGGCUGACACCAUCUUGAUCUUCCCAUCUCCUCCUAAGAACAGGUUCCUUUAUUUUUCUAUCUCUUAGAUGGGUUGCUGGUUUUUAUAGAUGCCAUGAUAUUCUUUUUGGGGGGAGGGGUGCUAUUCCCAUUUUGAUAGAAUAUCCAGAAAAAACUUUUGCAUAGUCAAUUGUCCACAUUGACAUUGAUAAAUCAGCUAGGUAUAAAAUUCUCAGUUACAGAGUCUUUCCCUCAGAUUUUCAGAAAUACAUGGACUUGGGAAAAAACAGGUUAGAAACUCUCAGGGUAAGAAAAUUAGAGAGAGAUGGAGAUGAACAACAGUCUACCAAAAAGCCUUGUCUUCUAGCUUCCAGGCCUACUGUGAAAAGCCAUAAGCCCUUGUCUUGAGGGAAUAUGUAGUAUUUUCCUGUUUUCUCUCUUUGUAUGAGAAUUUCAUUGCUUCUAUGUUGAUUUGGAUAUAUGCUCUUCUAUUUUCUUCCUUUUGAUCCAAAACUUUCUCUUUUACCCCUUGAAGCUAAUUUUUCACUCUCUUUCCUCCCCUGUGCACCUUAAUAGUAUAUGGAAUCACUUUGACUGAUUGUAUAGUGUUACAAGGUCUUCUCUCCAAUUUUGCUCUAUUAAUUUUUACUCAAAUGCUACCAGCAUUUGCUUCCUCCCCUCCCUCUCUUCUUCCUUUCCUUCCUUCCUUCCUUCCUUCCUUUCUUCCUUUCUUUCUUAAAUUUACAUUUAAUUAUUUUCCAUGAAGUCUUUUAUUCUAAAAUUGUGGUGUUAGUGAGAUGGAUUAACAGUUAAGAGCUUGGGAUGUUCUUAUACAGGACCAGGGUUUGGUUCCCAGCACCCAUGGUGGGUGGCUUAUAAUCACUUUUUCCCUAGAGCUAUAUGAGAUCUGAUGGUCCUUUCUAGCACUGGUUGUAUCUUCAUGCAUGCAUAUGUGUGCACAUGUAUCUGCAUGCACAUGUACACACUGAUACCUCUUCCCCCUCAUACACAUGAGCAUGCCCAUGUGAGCACAUACACAUGCACACACACAUGAAAAUAUUAAACUAACUCUUAAAGUUAAAAAUUGUUAGGUUAAAGAAAUAUAUCAUUUCACUUUUUCCUUAAAGUUUCUUCAUUUGCAUUUUUGUUUGGAUAAAAAGGUAUUUCAAUAACAAAGCUCAUAUAGUCAUUUUGUUCUAGACUUCUAUAAUUUUAUGUCUUCUAUUUCAACAUUUAUACCAUUAAUUCAUUAUAGUAAUAUCUUAUUUCUACCUUUACUGCAUUGCAUAUCAUCUUUAAAAAUGUGUGUAAGUGUUUUGGCUGUGUGUAUCUGUGCACUAUGCCUGUGCAAUGCUGAUGGGGACUUAAGAGGUAUUGGUCCCCAUGAAACUAGAGUUAGAGGUGCCUGUAAACCAUCAUGUGGUAACCAAACAUGGCUCUUCUGCAAGAAGAGUGCUAGUGCUCUUAAAUACUGAGCCAUGUCUCCAGCCCCCUAUAUAUGCCUCUACUGUUUUGAUUCCUGUGUUGAUUUUACUCUCUUGUAUUGGCUUACUAAAUUCUUAGGCCAGCUGUAGUUUAUUUUCAUGAAUUAUGUUAUAUUGAAUCAUUGUUCAGUGGCAAUAGUCUUCCUUUAAAUUUUUCCUCCUUUUAGUGUGAUUUGGUUUUCAGGUGGAUUUUAACGAUACUGUGAAUCUUAAAACAGUCUAGAUUUUCUGUGGACUUUAUAAACUUGUCCAUCAAAGCCAGACAUAGUGGUGCAUGCCUGUAAUCCCAGCACUUGGGAGGCUGAGGUAGAAAUAGAAAGAUCAUGAGCUCAAGGCCAGACUGGCUACAUAGGGAAACACUGUCUC
ensembl:lincRNA B830012L14Rik RIKEN cDNA B830012L14 gene